UACGAGGGGAGGUAGCGUUAUUCGGAAUUACUGGGCGUAAAGCGCACGUAGGCGGCUUUGUAAGUUAGAGGUGAAAGCCCAGAGCUCAACUCUGGAAUCGCCUUUAAGACUGCAUCGCUUGAAUCCAGGACAGGUGAGUCGAAUUCCGAGUGUAGAGGUGAAAUUCGUAGAUAUUCGGAAGAACACCAGUGGCGAAGGCGGCUCACUGGACUGGUAUUGACGCUGAGGUGCGAAAGCGUGGGGGGCAAACAGG
rnacentral:rRNA from 1 species